GCACACAUUUUCUGUUUAUUGAAGCCUUUUGUGAAUAAUUUUGAUCAUGUAAAAACUGGGAAUUGGUCCCUAUUGACAAUACUCUUAUUUUUUGCAUUGCAUAUGUCAUUCAGGAAAGGUAAUUGGUCACUGAACUUUUUGCAACUGUGUAUUUCUAAAUUUUGUGGCUUCAGUGCACGCAAAUUUAUAUUGUUCAGUUUGCAUGUUAAAAGCCUGCCAAGCACCCCAAGGCUGAUUAUGCUUGGUAAGAAGUCAUUUAUGAAAUAGAGCUGAUUAGACCAUAUUAAAAUUUCUGUUUGGCACAGGAGCUUUUCGUGGACACAGGUAUCCAGUCUCUGUUUUGUUAGCUCAAAUUUCUGUAAUUUCCUUUAUAAACCAAGGUUGUUGGACAUGUGUCUCAGUGAAUCCAGCAAAGUAACAAUAUCAAAUUUCACAUUACAUAUUACUGAUCAACAUAGUAAUCUAGCUACACCAACAGCAAAAAUACUGAAGUCAAUACUGUAAAGUUUAACAGCAGAACAAACUAUAAACUCCAAAAUCACCAUACAGUUGAUUUAUCUCCGGUAAUUUAACUGGGCUGACUCUUUGUUAGGUGUGUUUAAUGGGCAGAAUAAUUCCCAAUUAUGUACAAUUAUAAUAUGUUAAAACGGACUUAUGUACAUAAGGCCAUUAAUAAUUAACUGUACAUAGCUAUUUGCUUUAUGACUAUCUAGACAGUGUGAAGAAGUGAAGUAUUGAAAUUAUUUUAUGUUGCAUAAUGACAACAUGUUGCCCCUAUACAUUUAAGGACAAAGUUCAAUGACCGCCACCUGCUGGAUGGUGAGUGCAGAGGGGCGUGUAAUUGUUGAGCUGGACAAAGAGAACAUCUUUGCUGAUGCAAUGUCAGUCUUCUUUGGUUCAUUCUAUGUAUUGAACCUGGAAUACCAGGAGUCAGCGUGUGCAAGGUUUUUUGUAAGGAUAAACCCUGAAGAGGGAACAAAAUGUACCUCCAAGGUUGGGACAAGCAGAAGGACUGGGACCACUGUGAAGCGAAAGGUUGUUCACAUUAACCCUCAUGUCACAACUUUCCUCCAGUGGCUUACUGAAUUUGAGUGGAGAACUUCAAAUUAGAUGAUCCAUGGCCCAUGCUUUCUGGACAUUUACACAAGACGAACAUUAAUGAAAACAAGCUCUCUUGCCAUCUUGCAAGACGCUGUCUCUGUCCAACAGGUUUUUUGAGUGCAACAGUGUUGAUUUUUUUUCCUUCUUUUACCCGUUUGUUAAAAAUUAUUGCAGCUACUUACACUUUAAUUGUCACAUGUAUUGGCUCACCCUACAAAUCAAUGAACUCAGUCCACAAAGCAAGAUCAGGGUUCAAUGCAGGUCAGUCAAGUUCCUUCACACCACACACGCUCAUCCAUGUCCUUGUGGACCCUGCUUUGUGCAUUGAUUUGGUGGUGUGAGCCAGUAUUUUGGACAAAGUGUAUAUAAAGGCAGAAGUGUGGGGCUUGAUAUUAUAUUCAUUACAAUUCAGUUUAUUUGUAUGGUGCCAAAAAAAUGAAUGCCAAGGCACUUCACAUUGUAGGUUUAAGACCCUACAAAAUAUAACUAAGAAAACCCAACACUUGAGCAUAUGUUGUCUGCCAUGAUAUGGAUAUGACAUAAUAUCGUUAUUGUUUGUACAACCAUCUGAGAAAAUAAUGGAUUACAUGGUUUAGUAAAAACAAGUGCUUUCUCAAUGAAAAUAUGUUUUCAGUUCUUUUCAGUUUUUGAUUUUGGAAAUGUGUAUUUCUGCAGAGGAAAAUCAGAACUGAAAUAAAAAGUGGUGUAAAGCACAUGAAUUAUAUUUUUUGUGUGUGUGUCUAUCUAGCUAUCCAUCCAUCCAUCCAGUUUUUUUGGAACCCUCCAGUCUCUUACAGUAUGUUACUGUUAACUGAAAUUACGGUAAAUUACGACCUGUUAAACAGUAAAUGACCGCCUGUUGGGACACGGUAUCCUCUAGCAGAGAUGAAUAUUUUUGGUACUGAUGAUGCGUGAUAACGGUAAGUUACUGGUUAAUAUAUUGCAGUUUAUUACCUUGCAGCGGGCUUACAGUGACAUACCGUGAAUAAACGGUAGUAUACCAAUUUCUUAAUCACAGUAUGAUGUUACUUUGUUGACGUAAUUUACGACAUAACGACAUAACG